rnacentral:rRNA from 1 species
GACGAACCGUCCUAACGUUGUUCGGAAUCACUGGGCUUAAAGGGCGCGUAGGCGGGUCUCCAAGUCGGUGGUGAAAUCUUUCAGCUCAACUGGAAGAGUGCCGCCGAUACUGGGGAUCUCGAGGGAGGUAGGGGUCGAUGGAACUAAUGGUGGAGCGGUGAAAUGCGCAGAUAUCGGGAGGAACACCAGUAGCGAAGGCGGCACCCUGGGCCGGUACUGACGCUGAGGAGCGAAAGCGUGGGGAGCAAACAGG